UACGGGGGGGGGCAAGCGUUGUUCGGAAUUACUGGGCGUAAAGGGCUCGUAGGCGGCCAACUAAGUCAUACGUGAAAUCCCUCGGCUUAACCGGGGAACUGCGUCUGAUACUGGAUGGCUUGAGUUCGGGAGAGGGAUGCGGAAUUCCUGGUGUAGCGGUGGAAUGCGCAGAUAUCAGGAGGAACACCGAUGGCGAAGGCAGGUCUCUGGGCCAUUACUGACACUGAGAAGCGAAAGCAUGGGGAGCGAACAGG
rnacentral:rRNA from 1 species